rnacentral:rRNA from 1 species
GAGUUUGAUCAUGGCUCAGGAUGAACGCUGGCGGCGUGCCUAACACAUGCAAGUCGAGCGAGAAUCUCGGGAGCGGAGACUUCGGUUGAAGCAUCCGGGAGGAAAGCGGCGGACGGGUGAGUGACGCGUGGGUAACCUGCCUUUCACACAGGGAUAGCCACCGGAAACGGUGAUUAAUACCUGAUGACAUACUUGAUUCGCAUGAAUGAAGUAUCAAAGAUUUAUCGGUGAAAGAUGGACCCGCGUCUGAUUAGCUGGUUGGUGGGGUAAAGGCCUACCAAGGCGACGAUCAGUAGCCGACCUGAGAGGGCGAACGGCCACACUGGAACUGAGAUACGGUCCAGACUCCUACGGGAGGCAGCAGUGGGGAAUAUUCGGCAAUGGGGGAAACCCUGACCGAGCAACGCCGCGUGAGCGAUGAAGGUCUUCGGAUUGUAAAGCUCUGUUGGAUGGGAAGAUA